GGGCUGGGGCUCAGUGGUAGAGCACUCGCCUGGCAUGUGUGAGGCACUGGGUUCAAUUCUCAGCAGUGCA
rnacentral:tRNA from 1 species